rnacentral:rRNA from 1 species
CCUACGGGAGGCUGCAGUGAGGAAUAUUGGUCAAUGGGCGGAAGCCUGAACCAGCCAAGUAGCGUGCGGGAUGAAGGCCCUACGGGUCGUAAACCGCUUUUGCACGGGGAUAACACCCUCCACUUGUGGAGGUCUGCAGGUACCGUGCGAAUAAGGGCCGGCUAAUUCCGUGCCAGCAGCCGCGGUAAUACGGAAGGCCCGAGCGUUAUCCGGAUUCAUUGGGCUUAAAGGGAGCGUAGGCGGGCGUUCAAGUCAGCUGUAAAAUCGCGCGGCUCAACCGCGCCCCGCAGUUGAAACUGGACGCAUUGAGUUCACAACAGGCAGGCGGAAUUCGUGGUGUAGCGGUGAAAUGCAUAGAUAUCACGAGGAACCCCGAUUGCGAAGGCAGCCUGCCGGGGUGCGACUGACGCUGAGGCUCGAAGAUGCGGGUAUCAAACAGGAUUAGAUACCCCUGUAGUC